AUGAGUAGACCUGAUGACAUUAACAUCCCCAAUGGCAAGUUCUACCUAGGAGAUGCUGGCUAUGCAUGUCAGCCUGGUGUUCUUCCAUCCUUCAGGAAAAUCAGGUACCAUCUGAACGAGUUCUCUGGUAGGAACUAUACUAGGACUCCUCAGAAACUGUUCAAUCUCAGACACUCCAGCCUUAGAGUUGUCGUUGAGGUUGAGAGGGCAUUUGGAGUUCUGAAGAAUAGGUUUAAGAUUCUGGAUCAGAAGCCAUUCCACCAUUACCCUACCCAGGUUAGGUUUGUUCUUGCAUGCUGCAUUCUUCACAAUUGGAUCCUACAGUAG
rnacentral:rRNA from 1 species